GUGGGGAAUAUUGGACAAUGGGCGAAAGCCUGAUCCAGCCAUGCCGCGUGUGUGAAGAAGGUCUUCGGAUUGUAAAGCACUUUAAGUUGGGAGGAAGGGCAGUAAGUUAAUACCUUGCUGUUUUGACGUUACCGACAGAAUAAGCACCGGCUAACUUCGUGCCAGCAGCUGCGGUAAUACGAAGGGUGCAAGCGUUAAUCGGAAUUACUGGGCGUAAAGCGCGCGUAGGUGGUUUUGUAAGUUGGAGGUGAAAUCCCCGGGCUCAACCUGGGAACUGCCUCCAAAACUGCAUGACUAGAGUACGGUAGAGGGUAGUGGAAUUUCCUGUGUAGCGGUGAAAUGCGUAGAUAUAGGAAGGAACACCAGUGGCGAAGGCGACUACCUGGACUGAUACUGACACUGAGGUGCGAAAGCGUGGGGAGCAAACAGGAUUAGAUACCCGGGUAGUCC
rnacentral:rRNA from 1 species